rnacentral:rRNA from 1 species
AUUGAACGCUGGCGGCAGGCUUAACACAUGCAAGUCGAGCGGGGGAAGGUAGCUUGCUACCGGACCUAGCGGCGGACGGGUGAGUAAUGCUUAGGAAUCUGCCUAUUAGUGGGGGACAACAUCUCGAAAGGGAUGCUAAUACCGCAUACGUCCUACGGGAGAAAGCAGGGGAUCUUCGGACCUUGCGCUAAUAGGUGAGCCUAAGUCGGAUUAGCGAGUUGGUGGGGUAAAGGCCUACUAAGGCGACGAUCUGUAGCGGAUCUGAGAGGAUGAUCCGCCACACUGGGACUGAGACACGGCCCAGAAUCCUACGGGAGGCAGCAGUGGGGAAUAUUGGACAAUGGGGGGAACCCUGAUCCAGCCAUGCCGCGUGUGUGAAGAAGGCCUUAUGGUUGUAAAGCACUUUAAGCGAGGAGGAGGCUACUCUAGUUAAUACCUAGGGAUAGUGGACGUUACUCGCAGAAUAAGCACCGGCUAACUCUGUGCCAGCCGCCGCAGUAG